CCGUUGGCGGAGGAAGCCAUUUUUCUCGGGAUGUCUCACCAGAGGUGCCAAUAUUAUAUUUUUCCGUCAAGACAGAGAGCUAACGCUUAUCAAUGCGCUCUUUACCUCUUAGUUUGGGGUCUCAUGAUUGAAACACAAUCAAGUCCACAGUGAGUCCUUCGUCCAUCAAACUGUCAGCACAGCCUCCACGAGAGCUGGGAACAUAGAGAAUGUUACGCCGAUGCCGGUUUGAAGCUGCCUACCUCCCUACAAAACCUACAUUUGGGCGAAGACCCCUAGGCCCUGGAAGGUGAGGGAUUUCUGGAUACUUCUUCUCUCUCACAAGCAUUGUUCUCCAUGUCCCCGCUCCUGUUUUGACCUCACCCAUAAUCCAAAGUCCAUGUACCUAAGGCUACCUCCUCGGACUGCCCUUCACUCAGAUUAGCCCCUGGUGAGAGAGAAACAGGUAGAACAGGAUCUGUAUUUUCCGUGACCGUCACUCCAUGAACUGGAGUGCCAAGAAGAUACCCCAUAAUACCCAUCAUAAAGGUCACGAUUUAUUAAUAUAACAUACAAAUAAAUAAUAUUUGUUCUAA